rnacentral:miRNA from 1 species
CUCUGUCUGAUCCCUCUUCCCUCGGUCACGGAGAGACACAAAGGGGGGCGGGGGGGGGCGGGGGGACCGAGGGAAAG